ensembl:lncRNA
CCCUGUUACUCAUAUCAGUCCUCAUCACUCACCUGUAUAUCAUCUGUGUUUUAAACUGUUUGUUCAGAUUUCUUCCACUGAUGGACAAUAUAGAGAGGAGAAAGAGAGAGAAGACAUUCCUACUGAAUCUGUGUCUUCAAGCAAUUCUCCAUGCUAGAGGAUCCAUACACACAAUUAUAGAUAAAGUGUUGUCACUGUCUGAAGUAUAUCACUAUCAGAAAUGGGAUUUCCUGCUGGAUCUGUACUCACAUGUGAAGGACUAUGAGACUCAAACAGGCAGGAGUGUACUUCCAGCAUUACAGCCAGUUUACCAGUCAGCUCCUGCAGUCUGGUCCAUAGACCUCUCAGAGAGAAAGGCCUCCCUCCUCCUAGAAAUGCUUAAAAUCCAACCAGAGAAGAAACCAGUAGUCCUGAAGGGCUGGUCAGAUGAAGAGAGUGAAGUGAGGAGUUUCCUUCAGUGUCUGCCCUACAUCUCACAGCUGAGUUUCUAUCCAUGGUGGCCUGAUCCCUCAAAGCAGAUCAAGUUCCUGGUGGAUCUCCUGUGUCAGGCAGCAGAGUGGGAGGAGCAGACAGGAGAGAAGACACUGAAGCUGGUAUCAUCAGUGUGUACUUACAGCACUUUCCCCUUCUGUGAAGAUGUUGUUGAUGAUGGUGAUGUGAUUAAGGAAAAUCAGUGUCAUUUCCUGCUGGAUCUGUACUCACAUGUGAAGGACUAUGAGACUCAAACAGGCAGGAGUGUCCUUCCAGCAUUACAGCCAGUUUACCAGUCAGCUCCUGCAGUCUGGUCCAUCGACCUCUCAGAGAGAAAGGCCUCCCUCCUCCUAGAAGUGCUGAAACUCCAACCAGAGAAGAAACCAGUAGAGCUGAAGGGCUGGUCAGAUGAAGAGAGUGAAGUGAGGGGUUUCCUUAAGUGUCUGCCCUACAUCUCACAGCUGAGAUUUCUUCCACUGAUGGACAAUAUAGAGAGGAGAAAGAGAGAGAAGACAUUCCUACUGAAUCUGUGUCUUCAAGCAGCUCUCCAUGAGAGAGGAACCAUACAAACAACUGUAGAGAAAGUGAUGUCACUGUCUAAAGUAUGUCACAAUCAGAAAUGUGAUUUCCUGCUGGAUCUGAGCUCACAUGUAAAGGACUAUGAGACUCAAACAGGCAGGAGUGUCCUUUCAGCAUUACAGCCAGUUUACCAGUCAGCUCCUGCAGUCUGGUCCAUAGACCUCUCAAAGAGAAAGGCCUCCCUCUUCCUAGAAGUGCUGAAACUCCAACCAGAGAAGAGACCAGUAGAGCUGAAGGGCUGGUCAGAUGAAGAGAGUGAAGUGAGGAGUUUCCUUCAGUGUCUGCCCCACAUCUCACAGCUGAGUUUUUCUCCACCAUAUGAUCAGAGAAGAUCCCUUGAAGAGAGGAGAAAGAGAGAGAAGACAUUCCUACUGAAUCUGUGUCUUCAAGCAGCUCUUCAUGAGAGAGGAACCAUACAAACAACUGUAGAGAAAGUGCCACUGUCUGAAAUAUAUCACAAUCAGAAAUGUGAUUUCCUGCUGGAUCUGUACUCGUAUGUGAAGGACUAUGAGACUCAAACAGGCAGGAGUGUCCUUCCAGCAUUACAGCCAGUUUACCUGUCAGCCAGUCCUGCAGUCUGGUCCAUAGACCUCUCAGAGAGAAAGGCCUCCCUCCUCCUAGAAGUGCUGAAACUCAAACCAGAGAAGGAACCAGUAGAGGUGUGUGGCUGGUCAGGUGAAGAGAGUGAAGUGAGGAGUUUCCUUCAGUGUCUGCCCAACAUCUCACAGCUGAGUUUCUAUCCAUGGUGGCCUGUUCCCUCAAAGCAGAUCAAGUUCCUGGUGGAUCUCCUGUCUCAAGCAGCAGAGAGGGAGGAGCAGACAGGAGAGAAGACACUGAUGCUGGUGUCAUCAGUGUGUACUUACAGCGCUUUCCCCUUCUGUGACUGGCAUGAUGAGAAUAAGGAAGAUCAAUGUGAUUUCCUGCUGGAUCUGUUCUCACAUAUGAAGGAAUAUCAGACUCAAACAGACAGGAACGUCCUUCUAGCAUUACAGCCAGUUUACCAGUCGGCUCCUGCAGUCUGGUACAUAGACCUCUCAGCGAGAAAGGCCUCCCUCUUCCUAGAAGUGCUGAAACUCCAACCAGAGAAGAAACCAGUAGAGCUGAAGGGCUGUUCAGAUGAAGAGAGUGAAGUGAGGAGUUUCCUUCAGUGUCUGUCCUACAUCUCACAGCUGAGUUUCCCUCCAUGGUGGUCUGAUCCCUCAAAGCAGAUCAAGUUCCUGGUGGAUCUCCUGUCUCAAGCAGCAGAGUGGGAGGAGCAGACAGGAGAGAAGACACUGAAGCUGGUAUCAUCAGUGUGUACUUACAGCACCUUUCCUUUUCCCAAUGGAUACAUUUCUAAACAGAGUGAUUUCCUGCUAGAUCUGUACUCACAUGUGAAGGACUAUGAGACUCAAACAGGCAGGAGUUUCCUUCCAGCAUUACAGCCAGUUUAUCAGUCAGCUCCUGCAGUCUGGUCCAUAGGGCUCUCAGAGAGAAAGACCUCCCACCUCCUAGAAGUGCUGAAGCUCCAACCAGAGAAGAAACCAGUAGAGCUGAAGGGCUGGUCAGAUGAAGAGCGUGAAGUGAGGAGUUUCCUUCAGUGUCUGUCCUACAUCUCACAGCUGAGAUUUCCUCCACUGAAGGAUAAUGUAGAGAGGAGAAAGAGAGAGAAGACAUUCCUACUGAAUCUGUGUCUUCAAGCAGCUCUCCAUGAGAGAGGAACCAUACAAACAACUGUAGAUAAAGUGUUGUCACUGUCUGAAGUAUAUCACAAUCAGAAAUGGGAUUUCCUGCUGUAUCUGUACUCACAUGUGAAGGACUAUGAGACUCAAACAGGCAGGAGUGUCCUUCCAGCAUUACAGCCAGUUUACCAGUCAGCCAGUCCUGCAGUCUGGUCCAUAGACCUCUCAAAGAGAAAGGCCUCCCUCGUCCUAGAAGUGCUGAAACUCCAACCAGAGAAGAAACCAGUACAGCUGAUGGGCUGGUCAGAUGAAGAGAGUGAAGUGAGGAGUUUCCUUCAGUGUCUGCCCUAUAUCUCACAGCUGAGUGUUACUCCACCACAGGAACAGAGAAGAUCCCCUGAAGAGAGGAGAAAGAGAGAGAAGACAUUCCUACUGAAUCUGUGUCUUCAAGCAGCUCUCCAUGAGAGAGGAACCAUACAAACAACUGUAGAGAAGGUGUUGUCAUUGUCUGAAGUAUAUCACUAUCAGAAAUGUGAUUUCCUGCUGGAUCUGUACUCAUUUGUGAAGGACUAUGAGAUUCAAACAGGCAGGAGUGUCCUUCCAGCAUUACAGCCAGUUUACCAGUCAGCUCCUGCAGUCUGGUCCAUAGACCUCUCAGAGAGAAAGGCCUCCCUCCUCCUAGAAGUGCUGAAACUCCAACCAGAGAAGAAACCAGUAGAGCUGAAGGGCUGGUCAGAUGAAGAGAGUGAAGUGAGGAGUUUCCUUCAGUGUCUGUCCUACAUCUCACAGCUGAGUUUUACUCCUCCAUGGGAUCAGAGAAGAUGCCCUGAAGAGAGGACACAGAGAGAGAAGACAUUCCUACUGAAUCUGUGUCUUCAAGCAGCUCUCCAUGAGAGAGGAACCAUACAAACAACUGUAGAGAAAGUGUUGUCACUGUCUGAAGUAUAUCACAAUCAGAAAUGUGAUUUCCUGCUGGAUCUGUGCUCACAUGUGAAUGACUACGAGACUCAAACAGGCAGGAGUGUUCUUCCAGCAUUACAGCCAGUUUACCAGUCAGCCAGUCCUGCAGUCUGGUCCAUAGACCUCUCAGAGAGAAAGGCCUCCCUCUUCCGAGAAGUGCUGAAACUCCAACCAGAGAAGAAACCAGUAGAGCUGAAGGGCUGGUCAGAUGAAGAGAGUGAAGUGAGGAGUUUCCUUCAGUGUCUGCCCUACAUCUCACAGCUGAGGCUGAAUGUGGGUAUGGCAGUGAAACUGUCCAGACUGGUUAGGAGGACAGAGAGAGAAGCUACUCCACUGACUGUCCCAGAACUCUCCCUGGUCCUAAAGAGCAGCCAGCCACCAGAGAGAGUGUUAUCCAGGGCUCUGAGUAGUGUGGCGUCCCUGCUGAGACUCUGGAGGUUUCAGUGUCUGGACCUGACUGACUUCCUGAUCCAGGGUCACUCUCUCAUCACACUGCUGUGUCACCAGGGACCUCUCUCUCUCAGACUGAACUCAGACACUCUGCAGCAGCUGACUGUAGUUGUGUAUGAAGCUCAGGACAAGGACUUGACUCAGUGGUUCCUGGAGAAGGUUGGUGGAGACCUGACCUCCUGCAGGCUGGACUGGGAAGUGCUUCUCUCUCUGCUGCAACAUUCAACCCACAACAUCACUGUGGACCUCAGGAAGAACAGGCUUCUAGAGAAGAACAUCUCAGAUCUUCUCCCCUUUCUGGGAAGGGUUACCCUCAAGAGGUCCAGUUCCAGCUUUGUAAAGUCCUCCAUCAGACAGAUCUAUGACAGUAGAGACAGUGACUGUGUGUCCAGUUUGUUGAGGUCUUCAGAACAUUGGAUCAACCUGAACAGCAGAGAGCUGGACAGAGUGGACUGUUCUGCUCUGUGUUUUACCCUGCAGCACAGCCACCAAGUCAAAGUCAACCUGCUGUGGACCUCCAUACCACCGGGGGAGAUAGAGAGCAUCCUGCCUCUUCUGGACAGAGUCUCCCAACUCAGUGUUGACAGGAAGUUACUGCUGAGUUUCCUCCAGUGCUGUGCUGCCUCUCAGAUCCAGCAGGGGGCACCACCACCACCAACAGCAGUAUGGCUGCUCAGGUCUCUGCACUACAGGCUGGACUUCUCCUGCUCCUCCUCUGUGGACCUGUCAGCUCAGGACCAGGAGAAGGCUCUGUGUCUGACCACUGACCACUGCAGGGCCAUCAACUCUGUUCUGAAGCAGAACCAACACAGCACUCAGCUGGUCCAGAACCAGGUCCAGCUCAUCCUAAGAGACUGUGAGGUGGAGGACAGAGCACUGAGGGAGCUGCUUCCCAUCCUGCAUAUUGUCAAGCUGAGCCCCAGCAAAGCUCUGCUACUUCAGCUGCUGGACCUUGUGUGUGAGGGGAUUGAAGAGGGGCUGCUGAGGCACGCAGAGUCCCUGUGCAGAGCCCUGGAUGGGGAACUGGACCUCAGUGAGACCAGGCUGGACCAGAAGGCCUGUGGAUCUCUGGCCCUGGUUCUGGAACACUCAGAGGGUCUGUCAGAACUGGACCUCAGCCACUGUCAACUCACAGACCACCACCUACAGCCCCUGAUCACACACCUGCAUAAAGUACAAGUCCUGGACCUGAGCCACAAUGACAUCACUGAUGCUCUGACUGACAGAAUACUCCAACUGGUCUCUACCAACACUUCAAUGCACACCGUACGACUUUUCAACAACAGAAUCAUGAACAGGACCCCUUUCCUGACAGACAAGAGGUUUGAGAUCUGAUUAAACAUCAGGUCUUGGUCCAGGAAGAGGAAGAGAUGGCUGUUUAGAUCUUAGUCCAAAUCAAAAUAAAAUUCUAUUGGUGUAACGGCUGUCUGAAGAGAGAGUAGACCAAGGUGCAGCGGAGUUAGUGUUCAUCAUGAUUUUAAUUGAACAACGUGAACACUAUACAAAAACAAGAAAAAACCGACAGCCAAACAGUCCUGUCAGGGGCAAAACACUCAACAGAAACAAUUACCCACAAAACCCAAAGGAAAAACAUGCUCCUUAUGUGUGACUCCCAAUCAGCAACAACGAACUUCAGCUGUGCCUGAUUGGGAGCCACACACGGCCCAAAACAAAGAAAUACAAAAACAUAGAAAAGGAACAUAGAAUGCCCACCCAAUGUAACACCCUGGCCUAACCAAAAUAAAGGACAAAAACCCGUCUCUAUGGCCAGGGCGUUACAGUACCCCCCCCCCCCCCCCCCCCCCCAAGGUGCGGACUCCGACUGCAAAACCUGACUCUGAAGGGGAGGGUCCGGGUGGGCCUUCUUACGGCGGCGGCUCAGGUGCGGGACGUGGCCUCUGCUCCACCCUCGACGUCGCCCUCUUAGGUGGCGCACCUGGCCGCGCCGAAGGUCUGGUGGGCGACCCUGACUGCGCCCGGCUGACGGGCGGCGAUGGUUGUGCCCGGCUGGCGGGCGUCCCUGGAAGCUCCGGCGGCACUGACCCAGGAUUCACCAGGCUGAGGAGACAUGUAAGAGACCUUGCCCUAGGCGCAGGCACAGGACUCACCGGGCUGGCGGGCGGCUCUGGAUAGGCCGGCGGCUCUGGCGGCUCCGGACAGGCGGGCGGCUCUGGCGGCUCCGGACAGGCGGGCGGCUCUGGCGGCUCCUGACUGGCAGGCGGCUCUGGCGGCUUCUGACUGGCGGGCGGCUCUGGCGGCUCCUGACUGGCGGGCGGCUCUGGCGGCUCCUGACUGGCGGGCGGCUCCGGACAUGCGGGCGGCUCUGGCGGCUCUGGACUGGCGAGACCCACUGGAGGCCUAGUCCAAGGAGGCGGCACAGGAGAGACCAGGAUGGGGAGACCCACUGGAGGCCUGGUCCGUGGAGCAGGCACAGGACUGACCAGGAUGGGGAGACCCACUGGAGGCCUGGUCCGUGGAAGUGGCACAGGAGAGACCAGGAUGGGGAGACCCACUGGAAGCCUGGUCCAUGGAGGAGGCACAGGCUUAUCCAGGAUGGGGAGACCCACUGGAGGCCUGGUCCGUGGAAGCGGCACAGGAGAGACCAGGAUGGGGAGACCCACUGGAGGCCUGGUCCGUGGAGGCAGCACAAGAUUCACCAUGCUGGGGAGACAUGCAGGAGGCCUGGUUCUGGGCGCAGGCACAGGAUAGACCGGGUCCUGAAGACGCACUGGAGGUCUAGAGCGCACGGCCUGCACAACCCGUCCUGGCUCAAUGCCCAACCUCCCCCGGCAGAUGUUAGGAGCUGGGAUGUAACGCACCGGGCUCUCCACGCGUACUGGGGACACCGUGCGCUUUACUGCAUAACACGGUGCCUGACCAGUACUACGUUGCCUCCUGUAAGCACGGGGAGCUGGCUCAGGUCUCCAACCUGACUCUGCCACACUCCCCGUGUGCCCCCCCCAAAUUUUUUGGGGGGGCUGCUUCUCGGGCUCUACCUGCCUCCCAGGGACGUUGUCACAGUGGUCCCGCAAUUGCUCCCAUGUCCAGUCAAUCCUUGACUCCAACACCUCCAGCGACCAGGAUGCCAUGUCCUCCCGAGCGCGCUGCUUCCAAUAGUCCUCCUUGACUUCCAUCUGCCCUCUUCUCCGCUGCUUGGUCUUUUUGUGGUGGGUAAUUCUGUAACGGCUGUCUGAAGAGAGAGUAGACCAAGGUGCAGCAGAGUUAGUGUUCAUCAUGAUUUUAAUUGAACAACGUGAACACUAUACAAAAACAAGAAAAAACUGACAGCCAAACAGUUCUGUCAGGUGCAAAACACUCAACAGAAACAAUUACCCACAAAACCCAAAGGAAAAACAUGCUCCUUAUGUGUGACUCCCAAUCAGCAACAACGAACUUCAGCUGUGCCUGAUUGGGAGCCACACACGGCCCAAAACAAAGAAAUACAAAAACAUAGAAAAAGGAACAUAGAACACCCACCCAAUGUAACACCCUGGCCUAACCAAAAUAAAGAACAAAAACCCCUCUCUAUGGCCAGGGCGUUACAAUUGAUCACAUACACAUGGUUAGCAGAUGUUAAUGCGAGUGUAGCGAAAUGCUUAUGCUCCUAGAUCUGACAGUGCAGCACUAUCUAACAGGUAAUAUCUAACAAUUCCACCACAAAACCUAAUACACAAAAUCUAGUAAAGGAAUGGGAUGAGAAUAUAUAAAUAUAUAAUAUAUGGAUGAGCAGUGACAGAGCGGCUAAGAUGCAAAAGAUAGUAAAGAAUAGAUAGUGAAGGAUACAGUAUACAGUAUAUACAUAUAAGAUGAGUAAUGCGAGAUAUGUAAACAUUCUUAAAGUGGCAUUAUUAAAGUGGCUAGUGUUCCAUUUAUUAAAGUGGCCAAUGAUAUCAAGUCUGUAGGUAGGCAGCCACCUCUCUGUGCUAGUGGUGGCUGUUUAACAAUCUGAUGGCCUUGAGAUAGAAGCUGUUUUCAAUCUCUCUGUCCCAUCUUUGAUGCAUCUGUAUUGACCUCGCAUUCUGGAUGGAAGCGGGGUGAACAGGCAGGGUGGUUAUUGUCCUUGAUGAUCUUUUGUGUCUUCCUACUCAUAUUUAGAUUUGUAUUAUUCUCAGUUAAAGUAAAAUUCUAGGAGGGAUCCUUAAGGUUACCUCAUUGAUAGAAGUGUGUUAAAGUAGCCGGUAGAGUUUUUAGACGCCAGCUGAGGGACUGAUCAUCCUGAGGGGGGAGAUAAAAAACAGUAUGUAAAGUUGUAGAAGGUAAAAACCUGUUUUUCUAUGUAUUAAUUACUGUGCUUCUCAUAAAGUUGUAAAAUACAACACAUAUUGUAUUGGCAAUAAGGGUAUAGUUAAGGGCGUUGAAGGUGUCUAUCAAUUUAAUUUACUGUUGAUGUUGCUUAUCAUUGAUUGGUGAUAUUGAUUUGUGAUUGACUGAUUGAUCUGGAAUAUUUUAUCCAUGUUUCUGGAAUGUUGAAUAAAGUUGCUUUAUUGUUCUGAAAAGAGUCAUACAAGUUCAUGU